ACGGCCAUUCGAAUCGGAAUUCCAAGUCGGGAACUCGGGAAACAUCCUCUUUGCCAGAGUUCUCUGACAUAAACACCCCUGACAUCUCGACAGUAUGGCGGUGCACUCGGUCAGAGGUUGAUUCAUGCUGCUGCCUUGUGUGUGCGGAGUUUGUAUGUUCUCCCCGUGCUGCGAGGGUUUCCUCCGGGUACUCCGGUUUCCUCCACCAGUCCAAAGACACGCACGGCGAGCUCAGGUUAAUCAGGUCUCCAGAUGUCGAGUCAGCAACACCAGUGCGCCAAUCGAGAACGUGUACGAGAAGAAAUUGUUCUCAGAAAAUCACA